AUGACUGAAAUAAUUAAAAGAAGCAUGUUGUGGUGCUCACAGCCUCCUACCUGCUGGUCUGCAAAUGGGACCUCACCACACUGAGCUCCUUCCCAGCGCAGCAAAUCUCACUGACCACCAUCGACUGUGUUGGCCACUUCACCAUUCCAGGGGAAUCCAGAGAAGAGGGCUGUGGAAGUGGAGCAGAACAGCCAACUUGAGAGAACUGAGCUGACAGGACCAACUCUGGCAUUUUGGCUGCUGCAGGUGGGCCAAGCAAUCACCAGGAAGUGGCAUCCAUCCUCUGAAGAUAACAUGACCCAUGCUGGCCGAGAACAUUGAUCUGAAGCUGUAUCCUGCAAAUGCUGAGCCCAUUGGUGAGCUGUAGGAGGCCUUCAGC